rnacentral:rRNA from 1 species
GAAAAUAACCUAAAUACCCUGCAACCACAAGAUCCCAGCUAAUCUGGGAAGCUAAACUGGAUUAGAGCUGGUUAAUACUUGGACGGGUGACUGUGAGGGAAUACCAGUUGUUGUACGCU